UUUACUCAAGCUCGUGUCCCUUGAGGAGCCCAGCUCCAGAGAGGGACCAGUCAGGGCAAGGGAGACGUGGAAACCGCCAAGGGCAAAAAUCCUGCAGCUGCGGAGCACACACAAGCCGGGACCCGCCAGCAACCACAAGGACCACGUUUCAAGGGCAAAGCCUCCCUCCUCCUGUGAGGCCACAGAGAUUGAUGGAGAAAAUCCAUAGCAAAUAUUUAUGGCUCUGCCAUAAAUAACCCUUUGCUGGACUUCCAAGGAGUUCUGCGGAGUUUCAAGGCCUUCAGUGUGGAAUUUGCACAAGAAGCUGAAUUGCUCCUGAUCCCUAAAUGAUUGGUCAGAGGAUUUGCAUGAGGAAGCAGAAAUUAAUUAUUCUUUUCUUGUCUCUUUAUUUCCCGUAAUUGUGUAUUUAGAAAUGCGAUUACAUUCUCCCGCCGCACGAGGGGCUGG